GGCUGUGUGGUGCAGUGGUUAGAGUGCUGGACUAGGACCCAGAAGACCAGGGUUCAAAUCCCCACUAAGCCA